GUGUGUGGGGGAGAGUGUGUUUGGGGGGGGUGUGUUUGGAAGGAAGAGUGUGUUUGGGAGGAGUGUGUUUGGGAGGAAGAGUGUGUUUGGGGGAGAUGUGUUUGGGAGGAAGAGUGUGUUUGGGAGGAAGAGUGUGUUUGGGAGGAAGAGUGUGUUUGGGGGAGUGUGUUUGGGAGGAAGAGUGUGUUUGGGAGGAGUGUGUUUGGGAGGAAGAGUGUGUUUGGGGGAGAGUGUUUGGGAGGAAGAGUGUGUUUGGGAGGAGUGUGUUUGGGAGGGGGGAGAGUGUGUUUGGGAGGAGUGUGUUUGGGAGGAAGAGUGUGUUUGGGAGGGGGAGAGUGUGUUUGGGAGGAGUGUGUUUGGGAGGAAGGGUGUGUUUGGGGGGGGGGAGAGUGUGUUUGGGAGGAGUGUGUUUGGGAGGAAGAGUGUGUUUGGGAGGGGGAGAGUGUGUUUGGGAG
ensembl:lncRNA